rnacentral:rRNA from 1 species
CUGUCUCUUUUUAAUUAUUAAUUUAAUUUAAUUUUUAAGUUAAAAAGCUUAAAUGUUUUUAAAGGACGAGAAGACCCUAUAGAGUUUUAUAAAUCAUAAUAAUAAUUAUUUUAAAUUAUUAAUUUUUAUAAUGAUUUAUUUUAUUGGGGUGAUAAAAAAAUUAGAAAAACUUUUUUAUUAUAAUACAUUGAUUAAUGAAAUUUUGAUCUUAAAUUUUAGAUUAUUAGAAUAAAUUACCUUAGGGA